GUCUUUUUGAUAAUAAUUUAAAGUCUGACCUGCCCACUGAAUAAUUUGAAGGGCCGCGGUAUUUUGACUGUGCAAAGGUAGCAUAAUCAUUAGUCUUUUAAUUGAAGGCUUGUAUGAAUGGUUGGAUGAGGUAUUAACUGUCUCGAUUUAAUAAAAUAAAGAAUUUUAUUUUUAAGUUAAAAAGCUUAAAUUUAAUUGGAGGACGAGAAGACCCUAUAGAUCUUUAUAAUUAUUUUAAUAAUAAUUUUAUUGAAUAAAUUUAUUGUUAUUAAUUUUAUUAUUUUAUUGGGGUGAUAAAAAAAUUUAAUAAACUUUUUUUAAAAAUAUACAAUUAUAUUUGAAUAAUGGAUCCAUUUUUAGUGAUUAUAAGAUUAAGUUACCUUAGGGAUAACAGCGUAAUUUUUUUGGAGAGUUCAUAUCUAUAAAAAAGAUUGCGACCUCGAUGUUGAAUUAAAGGUUAAUUUUAGGUGUAGAAGUUUAAAAUUUUGGUCUGUUCGACCAUUAAAUC
rnacentral:rRNA from 1 species